rnacentral:misc_RNA from 1 species
UGGCUCUAGCAUCGAUGAAGAACGCAGCGAAAUGCGAUAAGUAAUGCGAAUUGCAGAAUUCCGCGAGUCAUCGAAUCUUUGAACGCACAUUGCGCCUGCCAGUAUUCUGGCAGGCAUGCCUGUCCGAGCGUCAUUUCAACCCCCAGGCCUUCGUCAGCCUGUUGUUGGGGCCUUUCAGGGGACGGCCCAGGCCGGACCCUGAGCCCUGAAAACCAGUGGCGGGCUCGCCAUGAACACUGAGCGCAGUAAUUCUCUCUCGCUCGGGGGUCCAGGCGGGCGCCAGCCGUGAAAAACGCAGAGUGAAAACACUUCUAACACAGUGGUUUGACCUCGGAUCAGGUAGGAAUACCCGCUGA